rnacentral:rRNA from 1 species
UGGGGAAUUUUGGACAAUGGGCGCAAGCCUGAUCCAGCAAUGCCGCGUGCGGGAUGAAGGCCUUCGGGUUGUAAACUGCUUUUGUACGGAACGAAACGGUCUUUUCUAAUACAGAAGGCUAAUGACGGUACCGUAAGAAUAAGCACCGGCUAACUACGUGCCAGCAGCCGCGGUAAUACGUAGGGUGCGAGCGUUAAUCGGAAUUACUGGGCGUAAAGCGUGCGCAGGCGGUUAUAUAAGACAGGUGUGAAAUCCCCGGGCUUAACCUGGGAAUUGCAUUUGUGACUGUAUAGCUGGAGUACGGCAGAGGGGGAUGGAAUUCCGCGUGUAGCAGUGAAAUGCGUAGAUAUGCGGAGGAACACCGAUGGCGAAGGCAAUCCCCUGGGCCUGUACUGACGCUCAUGCACGAAAGCGUGGGGAGCAAACA